CCCGUGCUACAACCGCUCAGCGCAGGUAAGAAGCGUUCGCGUGAACCGCCUCGUGCUGGCGAGUCUUAGUCUAUAU
rfam:Anoxybacillus amylolyticus strain DSM 15939, complete genome.